UUUAUUCCCUCCAUUUUCACACACACACAAAAAAAAUCAUUAAGUCCGUCCAAAAAAUAAAAAGAACAUUUUAAUAAAGCUUUUGGAGCGGCUUCUCUAGCUUAAACCUACUAUACAGUACUCUCAUUUUGUGGAGACGAACGUGGAGACAAUCAAUCGAUUAGGGCCAUGGAGACAAUCAAUCGAUUAGCUUCUCUUCGCUACAAUUGCUACAACGACAAUUUCUACAAUCAAUCGCUACAGUCGCCGGUGGUGAGCUGUUUAGACGAUCUGGUAGUGAGCUGCCGGUGGUGAGCUCUGUGGGAUUUACUGGUGCCGCUUCAAAAAUGAUUUACUGGUGCCAGGGAUAUUCAGAUUUUUCGCUCUGUGGGAUUCAAAAUCAAUUUUUUGCUUGGUGAAUGAGAUUGUUGCUAUUUGGAUCAGAAGGAAAUAAUUGAACUGUACACCAUCAUGCCAAAAACACAAUUGACAAUUCUAAGAAACAGCUUUCCGAUCAUAACAUUACGCAUCAACAGAGAAUGGUAUUGCAGCAAGCAUAACUGAUAAAUUAAAUGGUGCAGCAGGCUAUAAAAACUAGAUAUGAGUAUCAUAAUCUCAUUGCAAAAGAGAGUACAUUUUGAAGGGUAUAAGGUAGCUAGAGAGGAGGAGGACUAGUUAAUUGUUUUGGUUAGAAACAACCUUGAGGAGCUUCCUCUGCUUAGAUUUAGCAAUCUUUUUGAGCGUCUUUGGAUUGGUGAUCUUCUGAACCUUGGUCCCGGACUUGAGAAUGUUUUUCUUCUUCUUCUUGUCUCUUUCCUCCUUCUGUUUCCUCUUGUUCACCUCCUUCUACCAUGUUACUUUGUUAAACCUGGAAAGUUCCGUCCUUCAUGUUAGCAAUUUCUAUGAUCUGUCACACCUCUAAAUUCUUUUGGUAACUUCCAAUUAUUUUCGGUAUUAAAGAUCGUCUCGGGGAUAUAAUGGGACUUUGUAUUCCAAAUCUUGACUUUCAUGAUUAAUAGUUUUGCUAGUGCAUAUGUGAAGGUCUUGGAACCCAAAAAAGCAGGUGGUAGAGGAUCAGUCAUGAACCUUUUUAAUCAAAGGCUUCCUUGGAAGUAUUUGUCAGUUCCUUUUGCUUUGACAUUCAGUAUUUAAAGAGAUUUUUCUCCGUUUUUGAGCAGUGUUACUUAUUUGAGGCUUGAUGGAUCAGUUGAACCAGAAAAGCGCUUUGACAUUGUGAAAGCAUUCAAUUCGGAUCCUACUAUAGACGUUUUACUGCUUACUACACGUGUUGGUGGGCUUGGUUUGAACUUGACAUCAGCUGAUACCCUUGUAUUUAUGGAGCAUGACUGGAAUCCAAUGCGAGAUCACCAGGCAAGAUUAAGUCUGCGAUGAAGUAUGGAGGUUAUUUGUUAUUUACUAUCCAUCCAGAUCCUACUUCUUCCAUACCAGAAGAAUGACUUAUGGAUAAUACAUAAUAAUUUGGUGGACGGCUUGUUCUGAACAGGCAUACCUGGAAUUUUUGACAUUGGAGAUGUUGCAGCUUUUCUGUUGAUGAUUAGAUCUUCUGACUACUUGAGGCCACAAGAUUUGCAAAAUAAGAAGUUUGGGAUAAAAUCCUGUAGAGGUACAUGCCGUGGUUUUUUACACCUUAUUGAGUCGAGUGUUUUUCCAUGUGAAAAAUCUUUGUCUCAUACUGUUUUAGCAUUGUUCAAACACGCUGGACAACUUGUUUCAUUAAUAGGAAACUGCUAAGCUAAAAUAAGUAAAUCAGUAGGUCUAGUACUCUAUCAGUAUAUUGUCCUUUGCACCUUUUGCAGAGUUGCCAUUCUGUUUAUGAUUCUCUUCUUGCAGCUGUAAUGGGAAGGUGAUUUGCAUAAAUGAAAGGCAACUAUAUUGGUUACAUUUAUGGGUAAUAUGUUUUUAACAUUUUACUAUGUCCUACAUUUUCUACUUUCACCCCUUAUCAUAAAAUUAAUUCCUUCAGAAAUGAUGAUUAAGAUUCAUAACUUUGGUCGGGAUAUGGAAAUAUGAAAUAAGAACAGAUUGCGGUUAUCUGCACAUCUUAGAUAAGUUUGUAGCUUCGGCCCAAACCUAGUAUUGUGUUACGAACUUCACUUAGUAUGUAUAAAUAAUUUGUCAAGAAUCAAAUAAGUAAAAAGAGGUGCACAAAAAUUUUAAAUCUUAGAUCUGCCUCUGCUGCCGAUCCAUUUGGGUAAGUGUCUUAGUUGACUUACUGUAAUCAUCAUAAAACAUGCUGUACAGACGUGUCACAAUAGACCUCAGCGGAGUGAGAGUACAUAUGAUAAAGAAUAAUCACUAUCUCUACAACCAAACGCAAACACCAAUCAGUUCCCCCCUUCAAUGAAACGUGUAAAUACAAAGGAAGAAACUAAGAAGAUAGAGAUAGAUAGAUAGAGAGAGAGAGAGAGAGAGAGAGAGAGAGAGAGAGAGAGAAAGCUGUAAAAAACCAAUAUAAUGAGCCAAAAGAACAACCUACGACUAGGUGAUCUUGAUGCUGUGGAAGGUGAGUUUGAUGAUCUCUGGGUAACAGGUGACGCCAUGCUAUCUUGGAUUCCUUACCCUUUCUCCACUAGCUUUGCUCCUCGUGGGUCGAUACAAGCGUCUUCUGAAGCGACUGGGUGAAACCAUUUGAAAAUUUUUGUCACGCAUAUUUCUCCAUUGUAGCGUUCAUCAACAACAGCACCAAAUAUGCUGGUACCAACUUACGAGAAAUAUUGCCAUUAUUUCAGAUAUCUUUGUUGCUUUUCAAAGAUAGGUGAAGGUUUCUUUAUUACUUUAUCAUUCUCGGGAUAUGAACAAUAAGAAAGAACCAAAGAAAAGAACAAUAUUCAUCACCUGAGACACCCUAUUCACUUCUUGCAAAGUUAUGUCUUUUCCUCCCGUAAUGUUAUAUACUACCCCAGUUGCAGACUGAAUUGAUGACCCAAUUAGAGGGGCCAGAGUAGCUUGUUCGGCGGCUUCUUCAGCUCGGUUCUUGAUGAAACCCCAACUCCGAGCAUAGCAUUUCCAGAGUCUUUCAUCACUGCCUUAACAAUGCAUAUUAACAAUGCAUACUGCAAUAAUGCUAUUAACAUGGUACAUUGCAAAUACGUACAUUUGCUAACCUUUUUAAUGGGAAAACUCUUCUGCUAUGAUAUUAAACAGAUGUAACUUCUGAAAACAUGUAGUACAAAAAAAUCCAUCAUAGAAGAAAUAUGCAUCUUUUUGCGUUGGCGAGUGUCUGCAUCAUGAAAAGGAAAGACAUACUGACUUUUGACGAAGGAACUCAGUGAUUAUAUCAGAUAUUCCUUGGACACCUUGAUGUAAUACAUCAUCCGCAAGAAGAAAAGCAUCUUGAAGUGGUGGUGUCUGCUCAUCGGCAAUAUCUAGUAGACGAUCAAUGGGAAUAACUAUAAGAGUGUCAAACAUUUUUUUGAAGAUUUUUAAUUGCUUCCAGAGCCUCUAGGUUAAUAAUUUCAAAUUAGAAACAUGAAAGACUGGAUGACAGAAGAAAACAUAGCUGUUUCAACAUGUAGACGAUCAUAGUUAGUAUAAGCAAAUGUAUAGAGUUAAUGUUACAUUGAUGAAGUAGUUAGUUGGUUAAUUGGUGGGUCAGCUAUCGAGUUGGUUGUUAGGUUGUUAUGCAAGGCAAUGAGCUGUGUAGAAGUGUGUAGAAGCUCACUCAGCUCAACAUCUGUCUAUAAAUUAGAGCAACAACAAUGUAAAGCUAAUGGAUUGAUAAAAUUGACUCUCUCUUUCA